rnacentral:rRNA from 1 species
UAAAUUGCUGUGGUAUUUUGACUAUACAAAGGUAUUGUAAUAAGAUUUUAAUUGAAUGCUAAAAGAAUGGAUUAACAGAUAAAUACUUUCUUUAAUUUAAAAAUUAAAUUUAUUAUUUUUUGUGCAGAAACAAAAAUAAAAAUUAAGGACAAGAAGACCCUAAGAAUUUUAAUUUGAUUUAAAUAAUUUAUAUUUCUUAAUCAAAUUUAAUUGGGGCGAUUGAAAAAUAUUUUUAACUUUUUUUUAAAAAAAAUAUGAACCAUUAAUAAUGGUAAUAUGAAAAAAUACUCUAGGGAUAACAGCGUAAUAAUUUUUGAUAGUUCAUAUAGACAAAAUAGUUUGCGACCUCGAUGUUGGAUUAGGAUUCUAAUUUAAUGAAGAAGUUAAAUUAAGAAGUUU